GGCAGUCUAUCUGCAGUGUGGCCUAUCUCUGCAUAUGUAGCUAUUCCCAUCCAGGAAGGGUGGACAGGACCCACAGCAGCUGCAUGUCCUGGUUGUGAUCUGUGGCCUCAGACACCACGAGGUGAGACGUGAGCCUCUAGAGGUCACUGGCACACCAGACCAGAUGGCAAGAGGGACAGGGCUGCUCUGGGCAAGGUUUUACAGCAAGUGUUCUUUUUUACAGAAACAACAUGUUGAAAAUCUAUCUAACAAGCUGAAGAGCAAUGCUGCCAGGAUUUCUUGGCUACUGCUGUUGCAUGGAACAGGCAGACUCACAUGAGCUGCUGUAAGCACAGAUUUCAGUUUGUAUGCUGCAGUGCAGAACUCAGCUGAGUCUGAAAGACCACCCUGGGAGUCCAGGUAAAGAAGUGCUUGGUGCCUAUAUUAAAACUA
rnacentral:lncRNA from 1 species